rnacentral:snRNA from 1 species
GUGCUCGCUUUGGCAGCACAUAUGCCAAAACUGGAACGGUACAGAGAAGAUUAGUAUGGCCCCUGCACAAGGAUGACACGCAAAUUUGUGAAACGUUAUUUAAAAAA